AUUGAACGCUGGCGGCGGCCUAACACAUGCCAGUCGAGCGGAUGACGGGAGCUUGCUCCUUGAUUCAGCGGCGGACGGGGGAGUCAUGCUUAGGAAUCUGCCUAUUAGUGGGGGACAACAUCUCGGAAGGGAUGCUAAUACCGCAUACGUCCUACGGGGGGAAGCCGGGGAUCACUUGUGACCUUGCGCUAAUAGAUGAGGCUAAGUCGGAUUAGCUAGUUGGUGGGGUAAAGGCCUACCAAGGCGACGAUCUGUAGCGGGUCUGAGAGGAUGAUCCGCCACACUGGGACUGAGACACGGCCCAGACUCCUACGGGAGGCAGCAGUGGGGAAUAUUGGACAAUGGGGGGAACCCUGAUCCAGCCAUGCCGCGUGUGUGAAGAAGGCCUUAUGGUUGUAAAGCACUUUAAGCGAGGAGGAGGCUCUUUUGGUUAAUACCCAAGAUGAGUGGACGUUACUCGCAGAAUAAGCACCGGCUAACUCUGUGCCAGCCGCCGCCGUAA
rnacentral:rRNA from 1 species